rnacentral:rRNA from 1 species
AUACGUAGGGUGCAAGCGUUAAUCGGAAUUACUGGGCGUAAAGCGUGCGCAGGCGGUUUUGUAAGACAGAGGUGAAAUCCCCGGGCUCAACCUGGGGACUGCCUUUGUGACUGCAAAGCUAGAGUACGGCAGCGGGGGGUGGAAUUCCGCGUGUAGCAGUGAAAUGCGUAGAUAUGCGGAGGAACACCGAUGGCGAAGGCAAUCCCCUGGGCCUGUACUGACGCUCAUGCACGAAAGCGUGGGGAGCAAACAGGAUUAGAUACCCUGGUAGUCCACGCCCUAAACGAUGUCAACUGGUUGUUGGGUCUUCAUUGACUCAGUAACGAAGCUAACGCGUGAAGUUGACCGCCUGGGGAGUACGGCCGCAAGGUUGAAACUUAAAGGAAUUGACGGAG